GAGCUAGCUACAAUUUGUUUUCUUUUGCUACUGUUAAAAAUUGCUGGCUCUGUUGAUCAAUAGUAGAUAAGUUAAUUAGCUUAUGAUCAGUCAAGUUUGAAGUGGUUAAGCUGAAUCUGAGUUAGAGGUUUUAAUUUAGAGCCAAUUGCAGAAUGAAAAAUUGGAGAAGGCUAACAUGUAAUUCACACGUCAGGAGGCAUUAUCGGUCAAGUAAGAAGAUUGUCCUACUAAAGUACGGAUUGGAAUGAACUGCAGCUGCUUUGGUGCCUCAACUGUGCGGCAGAAAAGGGGUGUUGAUCAUGUUCAUAAAGAUACACCAGACACUGGAGGUGACUACAACCCUUCUCAUUUAUUAUCCGGCUUGGGACACGGUAUGCUUUACAAGGCCCACAGGUGGAUUUCAAAAGAAAAACACGAUUUCAUCUUGUUCCUAACUAGAACUAAGAACUGGUCAAAUUUGCUCCAGGAUCUGAAUAGUGAGUAGUUGCC